rnacentral:ncRNA from 2 species
CCAAUAGCGUAUAUUAAAGUUGUUGCAGUUAAAAAGCUCGUAGUUGAAUUUCGGGAUUAGUACGUUGGUCGUGCCUUCGGUACGUACUGGUGUUACUGAUUCCUACCUUCUGACGAACCAUCAUGUCAUUAAUUUGGUGUGGUGGGGAAUCAGGACUGUUACUUUGAAAAAAUUAGAGUGUUUAAAGCAGGCUCGCGCUUGAAUACAUUAGCAUGGAAUAAUGAAAUAGGACGUUGACCCUAUUUUGUUGGUUUCUAGGAUUGACGUAAUGAUUAAUAGGGAUAGUUGGGGGCAUUAGUAUUCAAUUGUCAGAGGUGAAAUUCUUGGAUUUAUUGAAGACUAACUACUGCGAAAGCAUUUGCCAAGGAUGUUUUCAUUAAUCAAGAACGAAAGUUAGGGGAUCGAAGACGAUCAGAUACCGUCGUAGUCUUAACCAUAAACUAUGCCGACUAGGGAUCGGAUGAUGUUAUUUUUAAUGACUCAUUCGGCGCCUUACG